CCUACGGGAGGCAGCAGUGAGGAAUAUUGGGCAAUGGACGAGAGUCUGAACCAGCAAAGUCGCGUGAAGGAUGACUGCCCUAGGAGUUUUAAACUUCUUUUAUAUGGGAAUAAAAUGUUGCACGUGUGUGAUUUUGUAUGUACCAUAUGAAUAAGGAUCGGCUAACUCCGUUCCAGCAGCCGCGGUAAUACGGAGGAUGCGAGCGUUAUCCGGAUUUAUUGGGUUUAACGGGAGCGUAGGUGGAGUGUUAAGUCAGUUGUGAAAGGUUGCGGCUCAACCGUAAAAGUGCAGUUGAAACUGGCAGUCUUGAGUACAGUAGAGGUGGGCGGAAUUCGUGGUGUAGCGGUGAAAUGCUUAGAUAUAACGAAGAACUCCGAUUGCGAAGGCAGUUCACUGGACUGUAACUGACACUGAGGCUCGAAAGUGUGGGGAUCAAACAGGAUUAGAUACCCUGGUAGUC
rnacentral:rRNA from 1 species